GCCGGCCAUUCAAUCAGACCCACGGGGCUGUGAGGGGAGCGGCAGAGAAUCAAUCAUGGGCCGUGUGUGUUUGCAAAAGGACGUGUGUGGCAGUGACAGCAGCGGGAGCCCCGGGGGAGGCCCCCCGGGGACACGUGUCCACCACCUGGGCUCCCGUGCCCGCUGAGCUCUGGGAGGCAGUGGCUGCUAAAAUACAGAUUCCUAGGCCCCAGACCAUCAUCCUGAAGCCAAAUUGCCAGAGUCAGGCCCAGGACUCUAGAGUUUCUUUGAGGGUCUCCCAGACACUUCUGGUGAGCAGCCAGGCUUGGAAACUCCUGUGCAGCCCACCCAGCCCCAGGAGAAAAAGGAGAGAGAUUUGGAUACAGUGACACAGACUCUCAAGGAGAAGGCCCUAUGACCACAGAGACAGAGACUGGAGUGACGCAUCUAGAAGCCAAGGACCACCAAGGAUCGCAGAAACCAUGAGAAGCUGAAAUAGACAGGCAAGGAUUCUCCCCUAGAAACUUCAGAGAGAGCAUAGCCCUGUGGACAUCUUGAUUUUGGACUUCGAGCCUCCAGAACCAUGAGCGAAUAAAUUUCUGUUGUCUUACACCCU
rnacentral:lncRNA from 10 species